rnacentral:rRNA from 1 species
GACGAACGCUGGCGGCGUGCUUAACACAUGCAAGUCGAACGGAAAGGCCUGCUUUCCCUUGUGGAUUGCGGGUACUCGAGUGGCGAACGGGUGAGUAACACGUGAGUGAUCUGCCCCCAACUUGGGUAUAAGCCUGGGAAAUUGGGUCUAAUUCCCGAUAGGACUGCAGGGUGGUGCCUGUGGUGGAAAACGAUUUUCUAGUGGUUGGGGAUGAGCUCGCGGCCUAUCAGCUUGUUGGUGGGGUAAUGGCCUACCAAGGCGGCGACGGGUAGCCGGCCUGAGAGGGUGGACGGCCACAUUGGGACUGAGAUACGGCCCAGACUCCUACGGGAGGCAGCAGUGGGGAAUAUUGCACAAUGGGCGGAAGCCUGAUGCAGCGACGCCGCGUGGGGGAUGACGGCCUUCGGGUUGUAAACUCCUUUCGACCGCGAGGAAGCCACCUGGUUGGAAGGGUGGUGACGGUAGUGGUAGAAGAAGCACCGGCUAACUACGUG